GUAUCGAUGGUUCAGUGGUAGAAUGCUCGCCUGCUACGCGGGCGGCCCGGGUUCGAUUCCCGGUCGAUGCA
rnacentral:tRNA from 1 species